rnacentral:rRNA from 1 species
AUGCACAGGUGCUGCAUGGCUGUCGUCAGCUCGUGUCGUGAGAUGUCGGUUAAGUCCGCUAACGAGCGCAACCCUCGCCGUGUGUUAUACGUGUCACGCGGGACGUGCCCAGUCUUAAGCUGGAGGAAGGUGGGGAUGACGUCAAGUCAGCAUGGCCUUUAUGUCCUGGGCUACACACACGCUACAAUGGCCAGUACAAUGGGUAGCGAAGCCGCGAGGCGAAGCCAAUCCUCCAAAGCUGGUCUCAGUUCAGAUUGCAGGCUGCAACCCGCCUGCAUGAAGAUGGAGUUGCUAGUAACCGCAGGUCAGCUAUACUGCGGUGAAUACGUUCCCGGGCCUU